AAUACCGGCUGUCAUUUACAUCGAGCCAAGUGCUGGGUAUCUCAGCCGUCUCUUUGCAACUGUUAACCUUGCAUAACAUAUUACUUCAGUAAUCACACAUAAGAAAUGCGCUAGCUCGGUAACUCAUUUUAAAUGGAAGCAUGUGCUAUUCAAACUACUGUAAUUCCUAAUCACAUAACCUCCACACAAAUAACACGCAUUAGCCGUUAACACAGUAAACGUGCCAGUGUCUAACAAGUAGCCUCGAUUUGUAGCAUUAACGCGGUUUGUUGCUUCACAACUGAUCAAAUUCCAUAUUGACUCUAUAUUACAGCUGAAUUCCUACUCAAAUACAGUGUUAUGCUCGCCAUGCGCCUAGCAUUUUUUUUUAGUGUUGUCAGUUUACUAAUCUCUCUCUCUCUACUGGGACAGUCAUUUGUUUAACUUCUGUUGAUCAACCGGCAUUGCCAAGGUUGCACAUGCACUUUACGAACGCCGAUCAACGCGUUUUCACCUUAGUUUGUUGCGUAGACCGUGUGUGUUGCGAUGUAUCAUAGCGACUGACAGGAGGUAUUUGACAGUCGUUUGCAAAUGUGGACGAUUUUUUAAAACCUUUCUUGUGGCUGGUACCCGUACAAAACUUGCUGCCAGUGACCUAAUGUUAACUCAAUAAAUGUUUUAGGACGCUACGUCCUAAGUUUUCAGAAAACUCCCAGUAAAGAAGUAAAUAAAUAUUUGCAAAAAUACUUCAUAUGUGUUGUCUAGGAAAUUUGGUGAUUGUGAAGUGUUUUCCUGAAGAGAUGUCGUAUAAUUAGUGAUUCGUUGUUACAAUUAACAGCCGUCUGUUUUAACUUCGAUGAUGGGUUGGAUACAAAACUGCUCUCAGGUUCCAGGGAAUAACUGCUGUAAACAGAUCAUAUUUAAGGUGCUUCAUACAUGAAGGAAUCCUGAAAUGACAGUAUGCAGCAUGAUGUUAAAAUGCAUUUGGAAUUUCGUCUCAAAGGUGAUCCCUCCGUGGCUGUACUCAGACUUCUUCCUUUGUUCAUUUGGUGGUUCUAUUCACAUGUCUAGUUCAUAUACUUGCAAAAGUAACACACUGUGUCUCACAAUGAAAAGUGACAGAUUUCUGAAUGUCAUUAUCUUUUUAUUCAUUAUAACAUGCAUAAAUGAGGCAAUGUUACUACUUGUUUUCAUAACUUGAAAUACAUAUAUUUUGAUGCA